rnacentral:rRNA from 1 species
UACGGAGGGAGCUAGCGUUGUUCGGAAUUACUGGGCGUAAAGCGCACGUAGGCGGCUUUGUAAGUUAGAGGUGAAAGCCCGGAGCUCAACUCCGGAACUGCCUUUAAGACUGCAUCGCUUGAAUCCAGGAGAGGUGAGUGGAAUUCCGAGUGUAGAGGUGAAAUUCGUAGAUAUCGUAAGGAAGACCAGUGGCGAAGGCGGGUCUCUGGACAGUUCCUGACGCUGAGGCACGAAGGCCAGGGGAGCAAACGGG